CAGCCGCCGCGGUAAGACGGAGGGUGCUAGCGUUGUUCGGAAUCACUGGGCGUAAAGGGCGCGUAGGCGGCCUGUUAAGUCGGAUGUGAAAGCCCGGGGCUCAACCCCGGAACUGCAUCCGAGACUGGCAGGCUUGAGACCGGGAGAGGAGGGUGGAAUAUCCAGUGUAGAGGUGAAAUUCGUAGAUAUUGGAUGGAACACCGGUGGCGAAAGCGGCUCUCUGGCCCGGAUCUGACGCUGAGGCGCGAAAGCGUGGGGAGCAAACAGGAUUAGAUACCCCCGUAGUCCCUGUCUCUUAUAC
rnacentral:rRNA from 1 species